AGAUUAAGUUAUUAAGGGCGCACGGUGGAUGCCUUGGCACUAGAAGCCGAUGAAGGACGUUACUAACGACGAUAUGCUUUGGGGAGCUGUAAGUAAGCUUUGAUCCAGAGAUUUCCGAAUGGGGAAACCCAGCAUGAGUUAUGUCAUGUUAUCGAUAUGUGAAUACAUAGCAUAUCAGAAGGCACACCCGGAGAACUGAAACAUCUUAGUACCCGGAGGAAGAGAAAGAAAAUUCGAUUCCCUUAGUAGCGGCGAGCGAAAUGGGAAGAGCCCAAACCAACAAGCUUGCUUGUUGGGGUUGUAGGACACUCUAUACGGAGUUACAAAGGACGACAUUAGACGAAUCAUCUGGAAAGAUGAAUCAAAGAAGGUAAUAAUCCUGUAGUCGAAAAUGUUGUCUCUCUUGAGUGGAUCCUGAGUACGACGGAGCACGUGAAAUUCCGUCGGAAUCUGGGAGGACCAUCUCCUAAGGCUAAAUACUCUCUAGUGACCGAUAGUGAACCAGUACCGUGAGGGAAAGGUGAAAAGCACCCCGGAAGGGGAGUGAAAUAGAACCUGAAACCGUGUGCUUACAAGUAGUCAGAGCCCGUUAAUGGGUGAUGGCGUGCCUUUUGUAGAAUGAACCGGCGAGUUACGAUUUGAUGCAAGGUUAAGCAGUAAAUGUGGAGCCGUAGCGAAAGCGAGUCUGAAUAGGGCGUUUAGUAUUUGGUCGUAGACCCGAAACCAGGUGAUCUACCCUUGGUCAGGUUGAAGUUCAGGUAACACUGAAUGGAGGACCGAACCGACUUACGUUGAAAAGUGAGCGGAUGAACUGAGGGUAGCGGAGAAAUUCCAAUCGAACCUGGAGAUAGCUGGUUCUCUCCGAAAUAGCUUUAGGGCUAGCCUCAAGUGAUGAUUAUUGGAGGUAGAGCACUGUUUGGACGAGGGGCCCCUCUCGGGUUACCGAAUUCAGACAAACUCCGAAUGCCAAUUAAUUUAACUUGGGAGUCAGAACAUGGGUGAUAAGGUCCGUGUUCGAAAGGGAAACAGCCCAGACCACCAGCUAAGGUCCCAAAAUAUAUGUUAAGUGGAAAAGGAUGUGGCGUUGCCCAGACAACUAGGAUGUUGGCUUAGAAGCAGCCAUCAUUUAAAGAGUGCGUAAUAGCUCACUAGUCGAGUGACACUGCGCCGAAAAUGUACCGGGGCUAAACAUAUUACCGAAGCUGUGGAUUGUCCUUUGGACAAUGGUAGGAGAGCGUUCUAAGGGCGUUGAAGCAUGAUCGUAAGGACAUGUGGAGCGCUUAGAAGUGAGAAUGCCGGUGUGAGUCGCGAAAGACGGGUGAGAAUCCCGUCCACCGAUUGACUAAGGUUUCCAGAGGAAGGCUCGUCCGCUCUGGGUUAGUCGGGUCCUAAGCUGAGGCCGACAGGCGUAGGCGAUGGAUAACAGGUUGAUAUUCCUGUACCACCUAUAAUCGUUUUAAUCGAUGGGGGGACGCAGUAGGAUAGGCGAAGCGUGCGAUUGGAUUGCACGUCUAAGCAGUAAGGCUGAGUAUUAGGCAAAUCCGGUACUCGUUAAGGCUGAGCUGUGAUGGGGAGAAGACAUU
rnacentral:rRNA from 1 species